GCCUUAGUAGCUCAGUGGUAGAGCGUUUGCCUAGUAUCUUGGGUACAGCAAAAGGUCCAGUGUUCGACUCACUGUUGAGGCA
rnacentral:tRNA from 1 species